GUAGCGUGAAGGAUGACUGCCUAUGGGUUGUAAACUUCUUUUAUACGGGAAUAAGUGAGCCACGUGUGGCUUUUUGUAUGUACCGUAUGAAUAAGGAUCGGCUAACUCCGUGCCAGCAGCCGCGGUAAUACGGAGGAUCCGAGCGUUAUCCGGAUUUAUUGGGUUUAAAGGGAGCGUAGGCGGGUUGUUAAGUCAGUUGUGAAAGUUUGCGGCUCAACCGUAAAAUUGCAGUUGAUACUGGCGACCUUGAGUGCAACAGAGGUAGGCGGAAUUCGUGGUGUAGCGGUGAAAUGCUUAGAUAUCACGAAGAACUCCGAUUGCGAAGGCAGCUUACUGGAUUGU
rnacentral:rRNA from 1 species